rnacentral:lncRNA from 1 species
UUAAAAACUCCCAGCAGCCCUGCAAGAGCCUUCAGCCAGCGAGUCCGCGGCCAGCCGCGCGGUGCUCCCCACGGCUCAGCGUGCAAACAAUGCCAGGAGCGCAGGGAGGAGCGGGAGUGCGGCUGCGGUUUGCGCCUUUUCAUCGGCCGGCCCUGGCAGGGAGACCCUCGCCCUCAGCUCGCCUCUGAAAUUCCUCUCUGCUCUCCUGUUCCUGGCCAAGCCCUUGCAACUUAGUUCUGGGAUGAACCCCAAGGCCUGCCACGCUGAAGAGUGCUCCUGAGUCAUACCCUACGCCCAUACGUCUAGCACACCAGGCAAGCAUGGACCAUGAACCUGCUUUUCACUGAAGUCCCAUAAUCCAGUUUUGUUAAGACCUUCAAUUUUCUUCUUUUGAAGCACUUUUCAGUUCAAUUUGUUCACGCCAGGAAUCCUGUGG